CAACAGACCGCCCCAGUGUCUGAGGCUCUCCCCCAGACACAGGCCCAGCUUGGCCACAGUCACAGGCCGGGGGGCCAAAGGCUCCAGAUCCAGUUGGCUAACCCGGAGAAGGCUCCCACCAGGCAGCCCCGAUAUGAUUCCAACUCCCAUCAGACUCAGGCUCCAGUUAGACACGGCGAAAGAGGGAAUACAAGCAGGGGGAGUGGAGAGGGAGAAGCAGGCUUCCCACGGAGCAGGGAGCCCGAUGUGGGGCUCGAUCCCAGGACCCUGGGAUCAUGACCUGAGCCCAAGGCAGACGCUUAACGACUGAGCCACCCAGAGAAGGCAGAUCCCUGAGAAGAUAUGCGGAGGGCAAACUUCAGGACAUACAGGAAGGAGUUCCAUCUCAUUCUCAGAAGUUCACCAUGUCUGAUACUGCUGGUA